rnacentral:rRNA from 1 species
AUUGAACGCUGGCGGAAUGCUUUACACAUGCAAGUCGAGCGGCAGCGCGGGGCAACCUGGCGGCGAGCGGCGAACGGGUGAGUAACACAUCGGAACGUGCCCAGACGUGGGGGAUAGCCCGGCGAAAGCCGGAUUAAUACCGCAUACGAUCUAAGGAUGAAAGCGGGGGACUCGCAAGGGCCUCGCGCGUUUGGAGCGGCCGAUGGCAGAUUAGGUAGUUGGUGGGGUAAAGGCUUACCAAGCCUGCGAUCUGUAGCUGGUCUGAGAGGAUGAUCAGCCACACUGGGACUGAGACACGGCCCAGACUCCUACGGGAGGCAGCAGUGGGGAAUUUUGGACAAUGGGCGCAAGCCUGAUCCAGCCAUUCCGCGUGCAGGACGAAGGCCUUCGGGUUGUAAACUGCUUUUGUACGGAACGAAAGGUACUUCUCUAAUACAGAGGGCCCAUGACGGUACCGUAACGAAUAAGCACCGGCUAACUACGUGCCAGCAGCCGCGGU